GUAAUAAUUACAUUGUUUACUGACGCUGAUUGCAAUUACAAAAAAGGUUUAUGGUUGGGUCCUGGUGGCGGGCGAACCCGCCCAGGAAACAAGAAGUGCGCAAAAGACAUGGGUGAAUAAUUCAGACAAGCUGGAGUCCUCACCGAAAUGAGGUCCCCAACCCGCUUUCAUAUUGUGUAAUGAUCCCUCCGCAGGUUCACCUACGGAGA
rnacentral:misc_RNA from 1 species